CCCAGAAGUGAUCAAUAAAAUUAUGAUGAUAAUACCAUACAAUGCAUUCCUCAACGGAUGUCAAUAAGAAAGUUGUGUCUUUAGAUCCACCUCUAAAGUUGUGUCUUUACAUCCACCAAAUAAAGUUGUGUCUCUUCACUCGAAGGUACGAAUAUCAAAAGAGAAGAACAAAGCAAGCCAAUGGGGUUUAAAAAGGGAAAAAGGAGAAAGAGAAAAAGAAGAGCCAUAAUAAACUAAUCAAGGACUAGAAAGGAAGCCAGGCAGAUAUACAAGGGAAAGGGAGCCUUUUUCCACCCAAUACAUAAUACAUAUAUAUAUAUAUGUAUAUAUAUAUAUGUAUAUAUAUAUAUAUAUGUAUAUAUAUAUAUAUAUANAUAUAUAUAUAUGUAUAUAUAUAUAUGUAUAUAUAUAUAUAUAUGUAUAUAUAUAUAUAUAUAUAGGCAAACUGGCAUCACCAACCAUUCAAUUCCAU
rnacentral:lncRNA from 1 species